GCACGCGUGGCGGAAUCGGCAUACGCACCGGUCUUAGAAGCCGGCGUCGAGAGACAUGAGGGUUCAACUCCCUCCGCGUGCA
rnacentral:tRNA from 1 species